CAGAGAAACAAAGCAAUUCAUAUUGUACUUUUGAAAGUAAAAAAUGAAAUGUAUGUAUAUGAUUCACUGUAAAAAUGAUGAUAUAGAAGAUAUAAUACUGAUAAUCGAUUAUAGUCCUGUUGAGUCGUGCACUUGUGCGGCUCGUGAGUCGGAAUAAGGUCUGUUCUGUACAUUUUUUUGCUGACGAAACAAUAUUAUAAUUGGAAAAUGACAGGGUUUACAGAAAGUGCACUUGUGAAAAGAUUAAUGGACUUGAAUCCUUCUCAGCAAAGUAUUCAAACACUUUCUCUUUGGUUAAUUCAUCACAGAAAACAUCAUCCAACCAUCGUGAAAGUCUGGUUCAAAGAGAUGUGUAAAGUAAAGGAUAAUCGUAAACUAAUGUUUAUGUAUCUGGCAAAUGAUGUUAUUCAAAACAGUAAAAAGAAAGGGCCAGAAUUUGGGAAAGAGUUUGAAACAGUGUUACCAAAAGCUUUUGAACAUAUGAAAGGAUUUGAUGAAAAGACAAGGGAAAGAUUAAAUAGGCUUCUUCAAAUUUGGGAAGAAAGAGGAGUUUAUGAUAAAGCACAAAUUGCAGAAUUUAAAGCUGCUUUUACAGAUACAUCAAAAGAUUCAGGAACCCCACCUCCAAAAAAGAAACUUAAAAAUGACAUAGAAAAAAUAAAGAAGGAGAAAAAGGAGAGGAAAAAGUCAGAGACUGAAAUUGAAGUGGAUGGAACCAAAGAGCUGCAUGUAACCUUAAGUCCUCGCACUCCUGCUGGAGAUCCACCAGAAACAGAGGAACUCAUCAAAGCCUUAAUGGAUUUGGAAAAUACAGCAUCCUCAGAUGCUGGUGUUAGAGAACGUAUUGCAUCUUUACCACCAGAAGUUUCUGAAGUUUCGCUGCUUGCAAAUUUAGCUGACAGAGCAGCUGCAGAUCAGUUAAGUGUUGCAGUAAAUGAAGCUGCUGCACUGUUAGCAGAUUACAAUGGACGGUUGCAAGCUGAAAUGGAAGAUAGAAGAAGAUUAUUAACUAUGCUUAGAGAUUAUACUUUGGCACAAAGACAGUUACUUCAACAGGCUCAGUCAACUUUAGAAGAUUAUAAAGAAAAACUUAAGAAAGUAUGCGCAGUUAGAUCUGAAGUAAAAUCACAUAUUUCCAAUCUGCCUGAUUUAACACAAUUACCUGAUGUAACGGGUGGGUUAGCCCCACUUCCUUCAGCUGGUGACUUAUUUUCUAUGCACUAGCACGUAAUAUAAUUCUGGGACUGAGAAACAUGUCUUAAAAUAUAACGUUGCAGUUGAUUUUGAACAAAUACUGACGUGCAUACUGUUUCAAUUUAAUAUUUGAUAGCAAUAAACAUAAACAGAAGAAGAUACAAAAGAAGGGAUGUAAUAUUCAUUAAACAUUUUGAUUAUUUAAAAAAUACAUUUUUAUUAUGUAUCACUUUUAUUGAAUUAUUUGUACAUAAGAUAAUUCUUUUAAACAAUAAUGUUUCUACAAAGUAUUUUGUACAUACAUAGACUUCUUAUACUUUUCAUACAAGUAAAGAAUACAAUGGAAGUAUUUAAAAACUGUAAAUUAUAUGUAUUAUGUUGUACAUAUGAAGUUGGAAGAAAUUAGUAAAA
rnacentral:misc_RNA from 1 species